AAAAUUAGCGGGGAGAAGAAGACCCUGUUGAGCUUGACUCUAGUUUGACUUUGUGAAGAGACAGUGAGAGGUGUAGUAUAAGUGGGAGAUCUUCGGGUCGACAGGUGAAAUACCACUACUCUCAUCGUUUCUUUACUUACUCGAUGAGGGCAGAGAGCGACUUUCUGAGUCACCCUUCUGGAAUAAAGGUAAUUAACAUUAAGUUUGUUACGAUCUGAUUCGAGGACAUGUGUCAGGCGGGGAGUUUGACUGGGGCGGUACAUCUGUCAAAUACUAACGGCAGGUGUCCUAAGGUUGGCUCCGUCAGGACAGAAACCUGGCAUAGAGGCAAAAGGGCAAAAGCCAGCUUGAUCUUGAUUUUCAGUACGAAUACAGAGCCGCGAAAGCGGGGCCUAUCGAUCCUUUUGACUCUGGAGUUUAGAUCAGAGAGGUGUCAGAAAAGUUACCACAGGGAUAACUGGCUUGUGGCGGCCAGAGCGUUCAUAGCGACGUCGCUUUUUG
rnacentral:rRNA from 1 species